rnacentral:lncRNA from 1 species
AGCACACAACAUAUAUCAUUUGCAUUCUGCUUUCAAAUAGGUUUUAGCAGAAAACUAGUUAUCAACAAAGGUUAUUAAAUGUUAAAAUGAAACAACAAUUGUAAAAAAUGUAAUGCAAAGUAUGUAAACUAAUUAAGUAACCUAAAGUUACAUAGUUGUCUAACAUCAUAUGUUUGAUUUCUAACUUUUAAUAAUACUGUGUCCACUGGAUGCGAAGCGCCUUGAAUAUCUCUGCUUCCAAUGGUCUAACUUCAUUAAAAUACUGCAUGAUCAAAUAAAAAAAUAAAUUAAUAAUGUAAUAGCAAUGUGCAUAAUAGUAAGAGGUUAUUAAGUUAAUCAACAUGCAUAAUAGUAAGGGGAAUGCUUUGAAAAUGUAUGUUGGAGUUAUUUGAAGUUGAAUGAAUAAAAAUUCUCUCCUACUAAAAAGUUCAAUAUCGGAGAAAAAUUGAACUCUGUUUGAAUGAUAAUCAAAACAUGCACCAGGUGGCCUCUAAUGACUUAAGAAAAGUAUUAAUUUAAUUUUUACAUACUAACUUAAGAAAUGUGUUUUUUUUUAUCACAGAGACAGAGACAUGUGUUUUUCUGUUUGUGAUUGUUGAUUUAGUUAAUAAACAAUUGUGUUAUAAAUAAUUUAAUAUAAAAUAAAGAAAUUAAGUUGAUAAAAUUUUUAUACCUCCUUCAAAUGUGCAUUUUCUUUCAAGUAUAGAGUUGUUAUUUUGGUUCACUUCAAUAGAGCUUUUCAAUUGAUUGCUUUUUUUGCUUGUAAUUGAAAUAAAAUAAAAAUUAGAUAUAGCUACAUUAUUGACUAUGAUUUUUUUAAACACCAUGUCAAAAAAUAAAAGAAAAAUAAAGUAAUUACCUAAAAUGCGAAUUUAGAUUACUUGUAAGCUAUUUUUUCACCAAUCUCCAAUCACCAAGAAUCAAACUAAUGAGGAAACAACGAAACAAUUUUUGAUAAAAAAAUGGAUAACAUCAUUAUAUUGUGAGUGAUUUUUAUACAUAACAAAAAAAUAAACACAAGUACUUUGUUUCUUAUUGGGAGAGCAAAAUUUAAUGUUAUCAUAAUAACAAGACAAUAUUAAUGUAACACAACCUAAUCAAUUAGCAAUAAUAAACUAGCAGUGGUUCUAAUUUUUAGAAGAUUUAAAGAUUUGUUAGUGUUCCUGUCUAGUCUGUCUUGGAUCACUGUAAAUACUAACUAAAUAGUGGUGUUAUGUUACUUUAACUAUUACACAUUUGCAAAACACACGUAUAUAUAAAAUGUGAUAAUGUUAUUUUUAUUAUUAUUAUUUCAUUAGAAGAACUAGGGCAAGAAGAAAUUUCAAUAUUUCCUUUGAGGAUUACUUUUGCUUUCAAGUGAAAGACAAAAGUGUUCCAAGAAAAACAGCUAUUGCUUUUUCUAAUGAAAUUUAGUAUAAAAUAUUUUACACUCUAAACUAAUUAAAAAUUACCUUAUAUAUAAUUUUUUUUAAAUAUUAUAAGAGCCAAAGAGUCAAUAAUUUUUAAUUACAAGACAAUUUAUUAUUAGAUAAAGGUGUAAAAAAAAACUUUUAUAAUAUUCCUCAAUUUCAAUUAUUAGUAUAAUUAAUAUCAAAUUCAGAUAUUUAAGCACUAAACUAAUAAAAAUAUUUUUUAAGAUAUCCACAUCCAAGUUACUCCAUUACAUAAUUUGGGAAGAUUAGGACGCUUAAAUUAAAAAUUGGCAUUACAAGUUACAAUAAUUCCUCGGCUUGUCAAACAUCACUUAUCUCCUCAAAAUUUUCCUUUGCUUCGGCUAAUCACCAAAGAAAUACUAAUAUCCUUUGUAAAUUUUUCAUCUACUAUUUAUUUCAUAAAUUAGGAUUAAGAUUAAUUUUUGUCUUUGACUCAUGACUCGACGUACAAUCAUAGUUUCUGCAUUUUUUAAAACAAAAUCUAAAACCGAGCAGAAAAAAAGUUAUAGUAAUUGAUACAAAUAGCUUAAAAAAUUAAACUAAACUAAAAUAUACUUUUUAUUAUACUAAUUAUUAUAAAUGUUGUGAAGUCAGUAGUCAUUCGCAAAGGCAUUGAUACACAUUUUAACAAUAUAAUGGACAAUAUUAAGUGCAGUAUCUUGUGUGCUUUUAGUGUUCUUCUCCAAUUAAAAUAGGAAUUUUGCCUCAACAACCUAUGCACUAAAACUCAAUAUUACAGGUUGGUGCCAGUUAUCGACAUAAAACAUCAAUUUUAAUUAGAGAAUACCACUAUAAGCACCUAAGGUACUAUAGCUAAGCUCUCUCCUAUAACCAUUAAUCUGAAGUUGUGCUAAUAUCAAGAAUCGCAGGUUAAAAACCUUGUCGCCAUUGAUUCGGUUGGAUUGAACAGGAAGCUUCAACAACUCUUUUUUUUUAUAUGAUUAUAACAAGAUUUUACCUAAACACGAUCAGACACGAAAGCGACAAUCGUUCAUGACAUUUUCAGAUUUCAAUAUUUUAAAACAGGUAACGUAUGUUACGCGGCAUAACAUUAAACAAUGCAAACAAAAUUCACUGAUUCCAUAAUCAUAUUUCUAAUUGCAUAAAUUCAACGAAAAACUUGUGUGAUGAAGAACAUACAAAUCAGAAAAAUCAACAACAACUAUCAUCAGAAUCAGUGAAGCAGACAACAAACAGCAUAAUGCGAGAUAAACGGCAAGGCGCAAUCGAAACGACGAACGAAGAGAAGAGAAGAGAGAGUGUGACCUGAAGAAGGAGAAGAAAGAGAGGGUUCUCCGAUCUUAGCUACCCGCUCUUUGGGUUCAAAAGUGAACGGAAGUAACGCGUUCUGUGGACUUGCGUUUUUUAAAAUUUGGCUUUUUCACUUAAUAACGCAUCAACACCGUCCAUUCUCUUUUCCAAGACUCGAUUCCCUCGUGACAUGUGUCCCCUUCGAUCUUGUGGCUAUUCAUUACAGCCUGUUUGUUUGUGUAAGAUCUAACAACUUCAUCCUAGUUU